UCCCAAGACCUGGGGUCACAGCACUAUCGC
rnacentral:piRNA from 1 species